CAGUAGCCGCGGGAAUACGGAGGGUGCAAGCGUUAAUCGGAAUUACUGGGCGUAAAGCGCACGCAGGCGGUUUGUUAAGUCAGAUGUGAAAUCCCCGAGCUUAACUUGGGAACUGCAUUUGAAACUGGCAAGCUAGAGUCUUGUAGAGGGGGGUAGAAUUCCAGGUGUAGCGGUGAAAUGCGUAGAGAUCUGGAGGAAUACCGGUGGCGAAGGCGGCCCCCUGGACAAAGACUGACGCUCAGGUGCGAAAGCGUGGGGAGCAAACAGGAUUAGAUACCCCAGUAGUCCCUGUCUCUUAUAC
rnacentral:rRNA from 1 species